UGAGGGAGAGAGGGUAGACGAAUGGGUAGAGGAGAAAGGAGGAGGUGACCAACCAGAGAAGGGGGAAAGGAGGGAAAGGAGGGAGAAGAAAAUGAAAGGGGUUUCCCCUUGACCCGCUCCACUCGACAAGCACCACGGCCAAAUUCGGCCAUUUUUCUGACGAUUCAAACCUUCCCACUACCUGCAACCUACUCCAUAACCUUCCCUCUUCCUUUUCCAUCCAAAAUUAGAAGGAAGUUGGUGGUAAUUUUAGGAAAAAAAUCACACCAAUGGGUGCUAUGGUUCUUGGUCGAGAUUCAACAAAUUCUUAAAUGAUUUCAUCAAAUCACCACCAACAACAAGUUUGGGGGUGUCAGAGUUGCUAUAGAGCCGAAUUGAGGACACCCAAAACUAGGGUUUCCAACGGGUUUUAGCAAAAUUGGGGCUCUUCUAAGUCAAAUUGGACUUGGCUACAGGCGACGAUGGUUCGUGAUGUCUUGACAUGCGUGCUAGGGAGUCGUGGCAUAGACCUCAGGUUUUAUUAGUUGAGCUUUCUUAUAGUCGAAGAUUCGUGGCGAUUCUUAGUAUUGGAGAUUCUAUCGAGGGCCUACUGACGCUCCGGUUCGAAAAUGUGACUACGGGACA